CCGUACUUUUUUCUUCUUUUUUUUUACUCGGUCCCCCACAUAGACCGUACCGGUUUUUUUUUUUUUUUUUUUUUAAUAUCAUCCCCGCACCAUAUGCAUUCAAUUUGAUUGCUCGAUUGCUUAGUUUAACGACAUGACGGUCAAUAUAAAAAUGCUCAGUGUAAUGACAUGGCGGUCGAUAUAAAUGUGCUCAGUUUGGUGACACAGCGGUCGAUAUAAAUGUGCUCAGUUUGGUGACAUGGUGGCAGAUAUAAAAGUGCUCAGUUUAGUGACGUGGCGGUCUAUUGGAUAUGGAUUGCUCAGUUUAAUGACGUGGCGGUUAAUUGGAUAUUUGCUGCUCAGUUUAACGACAUGGCGGUCUAUUGGAUAUUUGUUGCUCAAUUUAACGACAUGGCAGUCGAUAUAAAAGUGCUCAGUUUAAUGACAUGGCGGUCUAUUGGAUAUAAAUGUGCUCAGUUUGGUGACAUGGCGGUCGAUAUAAAUGUGCUCAGUUUGGUGACAUGGCGGCAGAUAUAAAAGUGCUCAGUUUAGUGACGUGGCGGUCUAGUGGAUAUGGAUUGCUCAGUUUAACGACGUGACGGUCAAUUGGAUAUUUGUUGCUCAGUUUAAUGACAUAGCGGUCUAUUGAAUAUUUGUUGCUCAGUUUAAUGACAUGACGGUGAUAUAAAAGUGCUCAGUUUAGUGACAUGACGGUCUAUUGGAUAUGGAUUGCUCAGUUUAACGACGUAGCGGCCGAUUGGAUAUGGGUUGCUCAGUUUAACGACAUGGCGGUCGAUUGGAUAUGGGUUGCUCAGUUUAACGACAUGGCGGUCGAUUGUAUAUGGGUUGCUCAGUUUAACAAUAUGACGGUCGAUUGGAUAUGGGUUGCUCAGUUUAACGACAUGGCGGUCAAUUUGAUAUGGGUUGCUCAGUUUAACGACAUGGCGGUCGAUUGGAUGUUAGUGAAUAUGGAUUUAUUUUGUCUUCGAGAAGCAAUCGAAAUUGCCGCGCUAAUCGA
rnacentral:lncRNA from 1 species